GGGGCUAUAGCUCAGCUGGGAGAGCGCUACAAUGGCAUUGUAGAGGCCGGCGGUUCGAUCCCGCCUAGCUCCACCA
rnacentral:tRNA from 2 species